AGUUUGAGCAUUCUUUGGCAUUGCCUUUCUUUGGGAUUGGAAUGAAAACUGACCUUUUCCAGUCCCGUGGCCACUGCUGAGUUUUCCAAAUUUGCUGGCAUACAGAGUGCAGCACUUUCACAGCAUCAUCUUUCAGGAUUUGAAAUAGCUCAAACGGAAUUCCAUCACCUCCACUAGCUUUGUUCGUAGUGAUGCUUUCUAAGGCCCACUUGACUUCACAUUCCAGGGUGUCUGGCUCUAGGUGAGUGAUCACACCAUCGUGAUUACCUGGGUCGUGAGGAUCUUUACUGAUGUGUAAUUUGCACACAGCAAACGUCCACCCGUCUCAAGUACGCUUGUGGAUGUGGAUGACUGUUGAUGAAUGUGAGACUCUGUGAGCCUUCACCCCACCAUCUCCCCGGUGAGUCCCCGGUGCUGUGGGCCUUGUUUGAAUGAUCAGUUCCUCAUUCUGUAUCGGGAUGUUUCUUUCAGUACGACCUUGAGCUGCUCAAGGACAAGCACAGACCAAGGGAUGCUCUCUGGACGAAGAUGCUCCAAGAGAAAAUGAAUACGCAGCAGAGGCAGAGGAAGACCCCCAGCCUUGGCUCUCAGCGGGACCUGGAGAGCCAGCGGAGAGAGGCAAUCUGACAGUCCAGCUCGUCUCAAUUCCCUAAGUUUCUGGAUGGCUGAGGUUUUACUACUUCGACUUCUGGAGUAGAAAAGGGGCUGAUCAAUGGCUGUUUUUAAUUUGUACCUAUUGCCUGAAGGCAAUCUGGCUUAUGGUGAAGACACACAAACAUAAAAUUAUACCUUUUUUAAAAAAAUCAAACCCAAUUGAGCGCUCAGGACAUAGCAUGA
rnacentral:lncRNA from 1 species